rnacentral:rRNA from 1 species
AAUAUAUCGGAACGUACCUUGUAGUGGGGGAUAACGCAGCGAAAGUUGCGCUAAUACCGCAUACGCCCUGAGGGGGAAAGUGGGGGACCGCAAGGCCUCACGCUAUUAGAGCGGCCGAUAUCUGAUUAGCUAGUUGGUGAGGUAAAGGCUCACCAAGGCUUCGAUCAGUAGCUGGUCUGAGAGGACGAUCAGCCACACUGGGACUGAGACACGGCCCAGACUCCUACGGGAGGCAGCAGUGGGGAAUUUUGGACAAUGGGGGCAACCCUGAUCCAGCAAUGCCGCGUGAGUGAAGAAGGCCUUCGGGUUGUAAAGCUCUUUUGUCAGGGAAGAAACAGCAGCUCUAACACAGUUGUGAAUGACGGUACCUGAAGAAUAAGCACCGGCUAACUACGUGCCAGCAGCCGCGGUAAUACGUAGGGUGCAAGCGUUAAUCGGAAUUACUGGGCGUAAAGCGUGCGCAGGCGGUUAUACAAGACAGGCGUGAAAUCCCCGGGCUUAACCUGGGGAUUGCGUCUGUGACUGUAUAGCUAGAGUGUGUCAGAGGGGGGUAGAAUUCCACGUGUAGCAGUGAAAUGCGUAGAUAUGUGGAGGAAUACCAAUGGCGAAGGCAGCCCCCUGGGACAACACUGACGCUCAUGCAC